UUAAUGGGCAAUAAACGCAAGCAUGAGCCAGCAGGAGGCAAAGGAAUAAACACAUUUGAGCCGGAAAAAAAUUCUCAGGGAAAUAAUUUAGAGGUUUGUCAAACAAUUUUUCCUUCAUGAAGGAGUGAUGAUUUCCCAAAGAAGCUUUGUAUAUUCUGGCAUGGCAACUUUUUUACAUAACAGUUUUUAGAUUUCUUAAGUUUUAACUUACAGUGUAAAGUAACUCUGAAUAUUAUAACGUAUUCAGUCUUAUCACACUUCCAUUUGAAUUUGCACAAUAACUCUGCUACAAAUACAGAAUUUUACUGAGGGUCCAGAUGACAAUAUCUUCCAUUGCAAACACUAAACUUACUCUCCCCCACUUUUUUUGUACUGUAAAAACUAUUCAUUGAGAAGAAGAAAUGCAAUGAGUGCACAGUGCCUUUAACUGGCAACACUAGGCAUUUUCUGUUGCACAGAACACCUUUCGUACUCGUGAAGCAUAUUCACAAAGGGUGAGUGGCAUGCCCUGUCUAUUCAGUGGGGUCAUUCAGUGCAAUUGAUGUAGGAUGAUUUUGGUCUAAAAUUAUGAAUUUCUUUUAAUAUAUAAUUAAUCAUAUAUUAUAUUAUAUGUAUCAUUGUUUAAUGGUUUUUAAAACGUCUUGUAAGUGAAUAUUUAUUCUAUUUAUUUAUUUUAUUAGACUUAUCUGCUGCCCAUCCAGAACAUCUCUACUUAUAUACCGCCCAUCUAGAACAUAUUCUGCUAAUAAUAAUAAUGUGGUGUCAAGAACCUAGAAUUUCAAAAAUCCCAUUAGAAGGGAUAGAACCAGCAACGAUGGAGCGUCUGACUGAAGACAUGAAGCCCUGGAAACCUAACCAUGCUGGCAUCUGACACUGCAGUUGGUCCCUCAGUUUUUGACAAGUCAAACUGAGGGGAAAAUGCAUGGGUAACAUAGAGAACAUUGGAAUGCGGAGAUUCAGAAACAGAGUGUGUAUUCUGUGUUAAAAUCAAAGAUGGAAACUUCUGUCAAAAUUGUUACAGCAGAAGCAACUGUACUGUUGAUUGUUUUGUUCUACAUUACUUAAUGUAGGUUAAGAAAAUUACAUGUACCACUAUGUCUGUCUCAAAGCUUACAGUCUGUAUUGAACUGUAGCCUUUACUUCUAGCAAAUAGUUUCCACUUUUUCUGGUUUCACAAGAAAAAAUUGGGGGGGGGAGAGUGUAAUAUCUGUUCCCAAAUAAUUGAGAAUCCAAUUCUUUAAAAUUCACAGUUUUAUAGGAAUUCUGUUC
rnacentral:lncRNA from 1 species